rnacentral:rRNA from 1 species
ACGGGAGGCAGCAGUAAGGGAUAUUGCACAAUGGGGGAAACCCUGAUGCAGCAACGCCGCGUGAGGGAAGAAGGUUUUCGGAUUGUAAACCUCUGUUUUUAGUGAAGAAACAAAUGACGGUAGCUAAAGAGGAAGCCACGGCUAACUACGUGCCAGCAGCCGCGGUAAUACGUAGGUGGCAAGCGUUGUCCGGAUUUACUGGGUGUAAAGGGUGCGCAGGCGGGACUGCAAGUUGGAUGUGAAAUACCGGAGCUCAACUCCGGAGCUGCAUCCAAAACUGUAGUUCUUGAGUGAAGUAGAGGUAGGCGGAAUUCCGAGUGUAGCGGUAAAAUGCGUAGAUAUUCGGAGGAACACCAGUGGCGAAGGCGGCCUACUGGGCUUUAACUGACGCUGAGGCACGAAAGCAUGGGGAGCAAACAGGAUUAGAUACCCUGGUA